UAAAGGUGGGGGAUGCCAUACACAUUUGUCCAUCAUCUGAGGAAAGGUGGAAGAUUGCCUCUAAUUCAUUUGAUGGGCUUUGUAUCUGCCUCAGCAAAAUAAGCAGCCUAUCUUGAAGCAGAAAAUCCUCCUCCCAUAUAUGCAUUCUUUCUCAUCAUUGAGCAAAUAUUUGGCAGCCAAGUUAUCUUUAAAGUAAUAAGAGCCAAAACUAUUUGGAAUAAACGUUUCAGAACUAUUUAUUACUUUGCACAGAGCCAUGAGCCAGUCACAUUGACCAAAAGCAUUUAUUGUGCUGUCUGUUUUGGCGGGACUGCUAUCCUAUUAUAUAUACUUUUAUCUAGGCUAAACUGUAGCUGUUGCAGCCUCUAUUACUCAAAGACCCGGAGUGUCAACAAGAUAAUCGAAAUAGCAGAGUGGGAGUCAAGAGUUUCCCCACCUGCUUCUUGAAGUCACAGGAAGAUUGUUUUCUUUAUAUUCCCUAUAUUCAGAAGGUACAAGCCUCCUGGACAUCUCAUCGUUGCUGGGUCAUACAUUUCAAAUGAAAUAAUUUCUCCAUUUGCUUUCCGUGAUUGCUGAUAGUUUUCAAUAAUGGUGGCUUCAUCAGCUAGGAGCUAUGAAUGAAGGCAUGGAGCGUAGAACAACUAGUCAACCCACUAUGAGCUUUUACAAGGCCUAAGAAAUAAGUGGAGCAGAUAAAAAUGAUGAAGUUA